ensembl:lncRNA
CUCAAUCUCCAUUGCAACACGUGGGAUCUGAACUCCAGCAUGCGAGUUCUCAGUUGUGGCAUGUGGGAUCCAGCUCCCUGACCAAGGAUUGAACCCAGGCUCCCUGCGUUGGGAGAACAGAGUCUUAGCCACUGGACCACCAGGGAACUCAUAAUGAUCAAGGAAAGGAAACGUGCUAAACUGGUGGAUUGAGGAGACUGUAUCUUGGACAGUGAGAUUUGUAAGUCACAGUGUGGGGAGGCUCCAGAGGCGACUUUCUUGGGACCCCACGAGUGAGGAAUUGGAGACACCUGACACGUGGUCCUCUUUGAUUCUACAAAGGCUGAAGAGUUGGGAAAUAUUAAUAUGUAUCAGAUUCUAUAUUAGUUAGGAACAGAGCUCAAACUGGCUUAGAUCAAAGGGGAGAUUUAAUGAUCCACGUCAAGGCGUCCUUGGGAGAUACUGAGGGCUCAGUUUUAGACCACUGCAAUAAAGCGAACAUCACAGGAAAGCAAUGAUGCUGUUAAAGUGCUACAUUCAAUAUACCAGCAAAUUUGGAAAACUCAGCAGUGG